rnacentral:rRNA from 1 species
AUGGCUGGCGACGACUGCGAGUCACAGGUGUUCGCCAAUGUGCCUGAGGGGUUUAUCAAGGUUCUCGUCUCCAUCACCAAGCUCGCGAUCGGGCCAUCGACUCGUCUAGAGUUCACACUCUACCAGCACAAGAUCAGCGACAACGUGUCUAUGCACCAGGCCGCGGUGCAAUUCAAGGGAGGACGUUCUGCGUCUCGCCACUUCCGUUUUGUGGGAAGGGCCAUGCCUACGGAGAGGCAUGCCAUGCAAAUGGCUGCCCGUGAGGCGAUAGCUCGUCUUCGGGAUGUUCUUCCUAUGAUGAAGACUCGUCGCUACCGCUACCUCCCAUGCCAUGUGUCAUAUACUUGUCACUAUGCAUUCGCUUGCCCUAGGGGAGAGAGAGAUGAGGCUAUUGAGAUGCUUGUUGAAUAUCUCAAAGCUCUUGAGGCAGCUUUUGACAACCUCGUGGACGACCUUGUGGCUGCCCGUAUGGACUCAGUUCAGGGCUGUUCCGCCAACAGGAGGGAGCUUCUCCACACGGCACCACCACUGACUUUCGUCUCGUCCUCAGCAUCCUAUGCACCUGCCAUUUUAGCCACCGCUCGCCGCCUGCCUACCACUGAGGAGUUUGACCAAGUCAUUGCUCCUACUCCAAUUAGAGCUGCACCACCUGCCGCACCCGCACCAACUCCUCAACUCAGUACUUCGCGCCUGGAGCCUAUUAGUGAGGAGGAGGUUGAGUCUCCUGCACCACUGGGUCUUACCCUCGGCAGGCCGAAGGAAAUUUUCACCAUCUCCGACUGA